rnacentral:rRNA from 1 species
CGCCCAACAGCUAGCCCACCCUCCCCCAACGCAACAAACCCCUAUUAAUAACCCGAACUACACCUUAUUUAUUAAACAAACCAUUUUUCCCCCUAAGUACGGGAGACGAAAAAGGACAUUUUAGGAGCUAUAGAGAAAGUACCGCAAGGGAAAGCUGAAAGAGACAAUGAAAUAAUUCAGUAAAGCCCAAAAAAGCAGAGACCCUCCCUCGCACCUUUUGCAUCAUGGUUUAGCAAGAAAACUUUAAGCAAAAAGCAUUAUAGUUUAAUUCCCCGAAACUAGGUGAGCUACUCCAAGACAGCCCAACUAAAUGGGGCAACCCCGUCUCUGUGGCAAAAGAGUGGGAAGAGCUUUGAGUAGAGGUGACAAACCUACCGAACCUAGUUAUAGCUGGUUGCCUGAGAACUGAAUAGAAGUUCAGCCCUUUAAAUUCUCUCCUCACCUUGGACACUUCGUCCACCACGAUUAUAAGAAGUUAAAGGAGUUAAUCAAAGGGGGUACAGCCCCUUUGAUCAAAGACACAACUUUUUUAGCAGGAUAUAGGUCAUACUUUACAAGGCUCGUGUCUCAGUGGGCCUAAAAGCAGCCAUCUAACCAGAAAGCGUUAAAGCUCAAACACACUCCUAACCCUUUAAUUCCGAUAACUAUGCCUUAACCCCCUAUCCCUAUCAGGCCAUUCCAUCUUACAUGGAAGCGAUCAUGCUAAUAUGAGUAAUAAGAGAGUCCGCCUCUCUCCCUGCACACGUAUACAUCGGAACGAACCCCCACCGAAAAUUAACGGCCCCAAUGCCAAGAGGGUACUGGAUUUGAAAUAAAUAACCAGAAAACCAUCCACCCGCUUCCCCGUUAACCCCACACUGGUGUGCAACUAUGGGAAAGACGAAAAGAAAAAGAAGGAACUCGGCAAACACAAGCCUCGCCUGUUUACCAAAAACAUCGCCUCUUGCAAACCCCCUAUAAGAGGUCCCGCCUGCCCUGUGACUAUGGGUUUAACGGCCGCGGUAUUUUGACCGUGCUAAGGUAGCGCAAUCACUUGUCUUUUAAAUGAAGACCCGUAUGAAUGGCACCACGAGGGCUUAACUGUCUCCUUUUUCCCGUCAAUGAAAUUGAUCUCCCCGUGCAGAAGCGGGGAUACCCCCAUAAGACGAGAAGACCCUAUGGAGCUUUAGGCUCCAGAACAGAUUAUGCUAAACGCCCUUAAACAAAAAGACGAAACUUAUUAACCCCUGUUCUACAUGCCUUUGGUUGGGGCGACCACGGGGAAGCACAAAACCCCCACGUGGACCAGGAGCACAAUUCUCCUAAAACCUAGGACCACCUUCCUAAGUAACAGAACUUCUGACCAAUAUAAGAUCCGGCAUAAAGCCGAUCAACGAACCUAGUUACCCUAGGGAUAACAGCGCAAUCCCCUUCUAGAGCCCAUAUCGACAAGGGGGUUUACGACCUCGAUGUUGGAUCAGGACAUCCUAUUGGUGUAGCCGCUAUUAAGGGUUCGUUUGUUCAACGAUUAAAGUCCUACGUGAUCUGAGUUCAGACCGGAGUAAUCCAGGUCAGUUUCUAUCUAUGUUAUGCUUUUUUCCAGUACGAAAGGACCGAAAAAAAGAGGCCCAUGUUCAAGACAGACCUCCCCCUUACCUGAUGAAAUCAACUAAAUCAGGCAAAAGGGCAUAUCCUCAAGCUUAAGAUAACAGCC